rnacentral:rRNA from 1 species
GGACUACUGGGGUAUCUAAUCCUGUUUGCUCCCCACGCUUUCGCGUCUCAGCGUCAGUAUCGUCCCAGCGAGCUGCCUUCGCCAUUGGUGUUCCUCCUGAUAUCUGCGCAUUUCACCGCUACACCAGGAAUUCCACUCGCCUCUUCCGUACUCUAGCCCGACAGUAUCCACCGGCUUUCCAGGGUUGAGCCCUGGACUUUCACAGCGGACUGAUCGAGCCGCCUACACGCUCUUUACGCCCAAUGAUUCCGGACAACGCUUGCACCCUACGUAUUACCGCGGCUGCUGGCAC